GAUGAACGCUGGCGGCGUGCCUAAUACAUGCAAGUCGAGCGAACAGACGAGGAGCUUGCUCCUCUGACGUUAGCAGCGGACGGGUGAGUAACACGUGGAUAACCUACCUAUAAGACUGGGAUAACUUCGGGAAACCGGAGCUAAUACCGGAUAAUAUAUUGAACCGCAUGGUUCAAUAGUGAAAGACGGUUUUGCUGUCACUUAUAGAUGGAUCCGCGCCGCAUUAGCUAGUUGGUAAGGUAACGGCUUACCAAGGCAACGAUGCGUAGCCGACCUGAGAGGGUGAUCGGCCACACUGGAACUGAGACACGGUCCAGACUCCUACGGGAGGCAGCAGUAGGGAAGCUUCCGCAAUGGGCGAAAGCCUGACGGAGCAAAGCCGCGUGAGUGAUGAAGGUCUUCGGAUCGUAAAACUCUGUUAUUAGGGAAGAACAAAUGUGUAAGUAACUAUGCACGUCUUGACGGUACCUAAUCAGAAAGCCACGGCUAACUACGUG
rnacentral:rRNA from 1 species